AUAGAUGUAGGAGAGAGGGAUUGGAAACGGAAGUAGAUUUCAAUGUACUUCACAUAUGACCUCGAUAAACAUCCUCGCCUCGCUUAAUGAGGGCUAAUUUAUUCCCCAGUAACCUCGCGGGUAACUGAGAUUAUUGCAAAUCUAGGAUUUUAUGAGUCGUCACUAGUAUUCUGUCAAGUUUUCCAGUAUCCAGUGCAACUGUGCUUUAUAUAGAUAGUGAAUAACCAUUAUUCAAGCUCUAUUUACCGUUGCAACUAUCUUCUUCAUUGAAUUUAGCAAUACCUCGCAAGCCAAAACGUACUGAGUACGCUGAAGAAAAGAAGACAGAAGAAUACCGAAGAAUACCCCUCCUCUCUACACCCCUACACGUCACUGCCCUCGUAAAUGUGUUCCGGCUAUAUAUACACUCUUGUAUACCUCACCAGCUUCUCUCCAUCUAAGACUGUCUGAUAGAGUGCUAAACUAAUCAUAAUUAUAGCUGUAAUAAUCAUUUUUAUCGUGUAAGUUGUUAAUGUUCGGUUUGAUCCCACUCGUUUUACACUUAGAAAGCAACUGGCAGUGCUGUGGAGUGUUUUGCUGUCUCCAAGUGUAUGUAAUUAUACUUAAUGAAUUGGAAAUUGAAAUGUACGCUCACCAGCCUAGUAUAUAUAGAAACUUCGUACAACUGAUUCAUCAAAAGUGAAAACAAUUAAGAAAGUUACAUGGUGUAUUAUGUAUCUUGUCGUGUGAAUGAUCAUGGUUAUUGCCUCAAACUAGUGGACUUCUUGAUGGUUUUCUUUUUCAUUUAAGUUUAAGUUGGCAGCAAAAGAGAAGCCUCUGACAGUCACAAAUACAUUCACAAUUUCAGGGAACUAAGCAUCCUCUGAUGAUUUUAUAUC